AUUUUGAAUUGAAUUAAAGACAAUAUAAAUACCUACAAAUCAUAUCCUGGAUUAUAUAGUCAGUUUAUAAAGUCAAAAUUAGAGAUAGAAGGGUUAAAGAUUUAAAAUGUAAAUUGGAUUUCGAAUGCGAAGACAGACAAAUUAAGAAAAGUUAGAAAAAUAUGUAUUUUAAAAAAAUCGUAUUCUGAUUCAACGCCAAAAUAUGUAAUCUCUUGAGAUUCGCCGCACGUCUUGAGAUUCUCUGCGACCCGGAUGAGAUUUUAUUUAUGAAGACCGUUUUUCGAGCGUUGGGUGUUGCGGGAAUUUUAUCGUAUUGUCACACAUAUUCCUCCUUCGUGAUCUCGGUCGCUUCGCGGAUUGACGAGGACGCAAGAAAGCGGAUCUUGCGGGCGUAAAGCCCGAGAAGGAAUCUUGGAAUGCGUGACUUACAAUCAAUGGAAGAAAUUUUUAAUCGUUGAUGAAUAAUAUGUGAAAAAUAUUUAUAAAACAGCAAAAAUAUCCAUUCGACGAAAAUAUCCUCAUGGAUGACACUUGACAUGUGAUGGAACACGUGCAGUUUGAAUAGCUUCGUUGCGGAUCGCACAAAAUACGGUGGUUGAAUAUUUCGUACCGGAAAAUGUACUCUUACUAGCGAUAUAUGCUGUACACGUUUGACCCCCGUGCGUGAAUUUUUAACAAACUUAAGCAGAUUCCCCGAUCCGCCGCCGCGUGUCCAUUCGCAAGAAUGCGGUUUAUUGACCUCGCGGUUACAGAUCGGUGAACCUGAUGGCGGGGCUUUUUCGUUUCGACGCGGGCUUAUACUGCUACGUCCAACCCAAAUUCUACGCUCGAAAUGUCAAUGUCGAGGCAACUAUAGGCAACGAGAAAUUGGUGAGGACGUGGGAGGUCGGUGAAAUCGAUAGAGAGAUAGCGCAAAAUGUAAAUUCGUUAUUCUAUGCGAGGACAUUGUAUUUCACGAGUCUAUUGAAAGUUUUUAAAAAUGAUUCUUUUUUUUUUUUUAUUUUUUUUUUAUUUAAGGUAAUCGAGUUUUUUUUAAUUUAUCUUUUAAAUUAUACCGAGAUAUAAGCGAUAUAACGGUUAUUGUCAUUUCAGCAUAGGUGAAUAUCGUUCGAUAUCACUGGUUAGAAGCAUGGAACGAACGUUUCGCGACUUGACCCGAUUCGAGCAAGCUAAUAGGAGUAAGACUUUCGCUUCCAUGACAGACACAAUUGCCAAACAUCUUCCGGAAUUCUUCGCCAUGGCUCAGAUAAUUAACCUUUUCCCCUAGAACCUUUAACGACCUCGAUACUCGUGGCUCAAGCCCCGUUCGUUUUCUUCGAAUCCAGAUAAGUAUCCCCUUUAUCCUAUAUAGUCCAAAUCGAUUCACAUAACUGCUCUUUUUCUUUCUAUUCGUUUUCCACUUUAAUUCUCCAUUCUAUUCUGGUUGAGAUUAAAAAAAAAAUGCCACAUUCGAUAAUCUUGAAAUAAAAUAAAAGAAAAUUAAUUUCCACUAUUAUCGGAUUUAAGUUAAUAUUUUUUUUUUUCAUUCUUUUCAGAUUUCGUUCAAGAUUUCGUUUUUAAAAAAUAAAAUGAAGUUUGUUUAAAAGAAUCGAAAAUGAUAAAAAUUGAGGAAACUUCAAACUGCAUCGGAUUGUAAAAUUUUAUUUUCUUCUUCUUCCUCCUUCUUCGAUUCGCGAAAUAUUCCCAAGACCGGUUGUCUCGGAAUGAUUGGAACUUGAGGAAUGCACCGGUAUCAGGAUGCGAGGCUGGAAGACAACUCGUUGGACGAUUACGAGUAUAUUAAUGAAUAGCGGAUAAUAUAUCGUGAAACAUUGGAGGGCGUUAUAAAUGUAUUGAAAGUAUAAUGAAGCCGAGAACAUGGUAGCCGUAAGGGUUUUUAGAAUUGAUCGAAGAUUAGCGGCGGAAAGAUGUGUUCUCGUAUCUUCGUGAGAUAGCGGAAAGUAUCGAGAGAGGCUUGUUGCAAAACGUACAGUUUUUUCGAGGGAAUCGAAGAAAAUUAAUUCGGGCGUGUGGAAUAAACGAAAGAUAUGGAUGUAAGUGAGACAUUAGAAGGAUGUUGUUCGUACGAGAAGAGAUAAAGCAAAAUGUUGAUGAUUGCACGUAGGCAGUACUUCGAUUGAAAUAGUGUAUGCGAUAACUGGUUGACGUGCAUAAUUUAUAUUCUUGCGCGUGGGACAUGGUUAAUUUCAUUAGUCUGUUCGAAUUUGAAUUUUUAAAAAAUAUGUACAGUCAAGUUAUACUAUAGUUUACUAGAGUGAAGAGACGUGUAUUAAAAUAUAAAAAAAUGUAAAAAAAGGAAAAUAUAAAUACAUUGGCAAAACAAAUACGUGUUUUGUGAAUGUAUUUAUACUAUCAAAAUUAUAGGAACUCGCAAACUAUUGUUGCGGAUGUGAAACUAUAUUGUCGACGGCCUCGAGAUUAAGAAAUCGGUCACGGGUCAACAAAAAUUAAAGCAUCUUGAACUCUUGAAGACAAGGUCGUAAAAUUCAUCAAAGAACAAUCCAAAGAUAAAAGAAUACAUUUUUAUAACUUUGAUAUCAUGAAACUCAUCAGAGAUCGUUAAAUACUAGAUUUCACUUUCCUUGACUCGCGAUUAGAUCCGUAUAUUUCAAAGUCUUUUCGAAGAUAAGACAAUUUAACUUCAAUUAGUUUAUAGCAAUCACAGCAAUUACGAACAUUGAUUAUUCAAUUAAUCUAAUAACUUGGACGAUAUUGAAACCAAGAAUGUUUAAAUCUUUAAGUUCUACUUAAUUGAUAGUGAGUAUUGAGCUCAGAGAUUGCAAAGUCAGAUUGUUUACAAUUAAUCUCUUCUUGUAACAAUGUAUUGUUUGUUGUUUGAUUGUUGUUUUUUCGAUUUUUUAGUUUCUCUCGAGCCGUGAUAAAUUUCACGGAUUAAGGAUCAGAGAGUCCAAAGUUUCAUAAUCUUGUUUUAAAGCAUCCUACUAGAUUUUUAUUCGCUAAAAAAUAACUGAAAUUCCAGACAUGUUAAACGACACAUAGAAAGACAUAUUUCGCAUGAAAAGUUCAACAUCAGAUUAACAACAGAAAUUAUUUGCUCUUAUUCGGAUGCUGCAAGUCGGCAACAGUAGUACAAACUCUCUUUCUCUGAAUUGCCGCCAGUACAAUCCGUGCAUAGCAUAAAAGGACAACUCAACACGGAGAUCUCUGGUAUUCUAUUCUAAAAUGAUAGUUGAUUUUUCAUUGUGACGACUGUACACUCGGCCGAUUAUGGUAACGACAAAUCACGGUCGUGAUGUGCGUUAAACGGUUGCAUGCUUUUCUGUAAAAUAAUCUCAUUGUCCGCGUGUCCUUCCUUUCAAGAACGUAACCAUAUAGGGUGAAAGUCAGUGAACUAUUCAGGCUAUGAUACCGUGAAAUUGUUACUUAUGACCUCGCUGUCGUUGCGCUUCUGCGAAAUCUUAAUUAGUUCUAACUUCUUAUCUUGAUCGAACGUCUCUUGAAGUUGCUAAUGAAAUGCGAAUUAACUACGAGUAAACUGGAAACUUGGACUUGAGUGGCCUUACAAUCUUUUUAAAACGAACAGCCGACUCAUGGAAUCGUAUUAUAUCUCUGUUACGGAAUAAAUUGAAUACAGGCAAGCACUGAUUAACCUGUUGCUGAAGGAAACAUUCUCAUUAAGCUCGGAUAUUAUAAAGCUAUUGAACAAAGACACGGAAACGAGUAAGACGAAGAGCUUAUCUCAAUUUUGAUUUAAUUUAAUUUCGAAAUUGUAAAGAUAUCGGAAUAAAAGUUGAAAGAAAUUUA